CCUACGGGGGGCUGCAGUGGGGAAUAUUGGACAAUGGGGGCAACCCUGAUCCAGCCAUGCCGCGUGUGUGAAGAAGGCCCUCGGGUUGUAAAGCACUUUCAGUGAGGAAGAACGCCUGGUGGUUAAUACCCAUCAGGAAAGACAUCACUCACAGAAGAAGCACCGGCUAACUCCGUGCCAGCAGCCGCGGUAAUACGGAGGGUGCGAGCGUUAAUCGGAAUUACUGGGCGUAAAGCGCGCGUAGGUGGCUUGAUAAGCCGGUUGUGAAAGCCCCGGGCUCAACCUGGGAACGGCAUCCGGAACUGUCAAGCUAGAGUGCAGGAGAGGAAGGUAGAAUUCCCGGUGUAGCGGUGAAAUGCGUAGAGAUCGGGAGGAAUACCAGUGGCGAAGGCGGCCUUCUGGACUGACACUGACACUGAGGUGCGAAAGCGUGGGUAGCAAACAGGAUUAGAUACACCGGUAGUC
rnacentral:rRNA from 1 species